CGACCCUGAGUUGUUGUAAUGUAUGAUGCAGGUUUGCUCAUGGACUGUUUGGAAAUGCUAACAUGAUGAUGCCAUGUGGUGUUGUGGUUUGUAGGGCAAUGAUAUGCAGUUGUUUAUAAUGUAUGAUGCAAAUAACAUGUAUGCAGGUUGCACCCUUAUGGAAUCACACUUGCAAGGUUUGGAAAUGCCAUGGAUGGAAAUGUGAAGGUUUCUUGCACAUGAAGCUACUUUUGAUCAUGAAGUUGCAAGUGAUGAUGCUAUCAUGGAGAAUCCAUCAAGGAGGAUUGGAUUAAGGCUGAAUUAGGUGGGUGGGCUGAAUUAGGUGCAGAUUUGGUGUGUCUGUCCUCCUUCAAUUGUAGAGUGUCAGCCCCUUAAGCAAAAAGAGUUUAACCUUUCUCAUUCCCCACUGAGUUAUUUCCUCAUGGAUGAUUAUUAUUUUAGUUUCCUCCCCAGUUAAUUAUCUGGAUGGAACCACUCCCCUUGAGUUAGAUCCUCUUUGAGUUGAGUCUUUGAUUGAUCGUUUCUUUCUAGUUAUUACCUAGAUAGAUAUUUUGGUCCCCUGAGAGUCUAUCACCCAGUAGCUGGUGAUAUUCUUCUCGAUUUUGAGUACUUUACUUUUGCCCAAUACUCGGUAAAGUGUAAUCUACUUCCAUUGUUUUUCCCAACGGAUUCAUUUUCACGUUUCCCCAGGUAGUUUGUCCUUGAUAUGUUCAUCCUAACCGAUGACGGAUAUUCUUCAUUUUGUGGUUUUCUACCCAGCGAGAAGGUAGUCGUAAUCCCUAUUUUAUUCCCCAGAGAGUCUAUCCUUGAUAUGUUCACUUUAACUGGUGACGAAUUUUCUCUCCCUUUUAUGGUAUUCUACCCAGUAACAGGUAGUUGUAAUUCCUACUUUCCCCUGCUGAGUUUAUCCUUGAUAUGUUCAUCCUAACCGGUGACAAAUAUUCUCUUUUUGAUAUUCUAUCCAGUAACUGAUAGAUAUAAUUCCUAUUUCUCCCCGGCAAUUUAUCCUUGAUAUGUUUACCCUAAUCGGUAACAGAUAUUCUUCCUCUUUCCCCAGGCGGUCUAUCCUUGAUAUGUUCAUCCUAACCGAUGACGUAUAUUCUUCCUUUGAAUUUAUCCUUGAUAUGUUUACUUUAAUCAGUGAUGGAUACUCUUUCUUUGGUCUUCUGCCCAGUAACUGGUAGUUGUAAAUCCUAUUUGAGUGCUUUCCCCAGUAGGUUAUUCUUACCCAGUAACUGGUAGUUGUAAAUCCUAUUUGAGUGCUUUCCCCAGUAGGUUAUUCUUACCCAGUAACAGGUAACGAGUACACCUUUUUCUCCUUAGCGAGUCAUCCUUGAUAUGUUUACCGUAACCGAUAACAAAUAUCCCUCUGUCAGAGUAUAUUAUCUUUCUAUCCAGUAACCGGUAAUAGAUAAUAUAUCUCUUGCAUUCCUGUGUUGAAGUCCAUUCUUCCCCAAUUGAGUUUAAGUGUGUAUUUCUUCAAUGGAAUCGCCUUUUCCUAUUUGGUUCGAGUAUUUCAACUUUGUUAUGAUCUACCCGUUUCCCCUGUAGAUUUUCCUGGUUCCCCAACCGAGUCUUUCCAUUGAUUUAUUUUCAUGGAAAUCCCCAUGUGUCUCCAGCAAUUUUAAGUCGUAGCCUGACCUACGCACGACUUUUAUCCCCAUAGUCUCUAUCUCCCCAGUGAGUUUUUCUUACGGAAUGCAGUUUUCUCCACUUUCAGUCUCUCCACAAAGAUUGUUUUAACAUUCAUAUCAUAUGCAUCAUGAGGUAUCUUAGGGACUAAAAUUUGUUUCUAGAUGUUGUUAUUUAAGUCCAUUCUAUUGAGUUGAUACAGAGAUUUUAACCUUCACAUCCUCAGUUAGAAUGUCCUUAAAUAAGGGCAGCUGUAAGACCCCAAUUUUGACCCUAAGAUCCCCCAUGUUAUCUCAUCAUAUGCAAUGGCUUUGGGAUCACACCUUGACAUCCUCAUUACUCCUCUUUCAUUGGGUUUGCAUUAGGAGAGAUCACCAAGCAUAUUUGAUUGUAUCAUACCUUGUGUUUUAUUAUUUACUAACCAAAAUACCAAAAAUAUGUCUAUGUUUAGCCUUGUUUCUUUUGUAGGUAGUGUGUACAUCUACCAAUGUCUCAUCAAGUUCACAUCUAGGGUUUGAGACCCUCAAUACAAGAAGAUCAAUCAAGAGAUGGUUCACAUUGGCUCUAGACAUCAUAUAUGGGUCCCCAUGAUCUUCAUUUAUCAUUUUGAUAAAUAAUUCAUCAAGAGUUUGAAGCUUGUUUGCCUUGGAAGCCCUAAUUUAUAUGGGUAUCUUGUGUAACUUCCUCAACAGGUUUCUUCAUCAUUUGAUAAAUAUUUCAAAGGAUAAUUUAUUAUACAUCAUAUUAUGCAUAUUUUAUCCUCCAUGAGUCUAAAAGAUCAAUAAAACUUCAAGUUUGCAAGUAGGUUCAAGGUGGUUGACAAGAGAGAGUCAAAUGGUCAAGAUUGGGGUUCACUAGACCCUAUCUCCUACAAUUUUUGUGAUAUGAAAAUUAUUCCAAGAGCAAAGUUACUCCUUAUGACAUUAAAAACAACUUUAAUGUUUAAGUCAAGAGCUAUUUUUUCUUGGAAAGUCAUUUUUUAUGAUGAACGAUUAUAGGUCAUUUUGUAUGUGCCCUAGUUAUGAGGUCAACUUCCAAGGACCAUAACUUGCUCAAUUUUUAUGAUAUGAAGGCUAUCCAAGUUUCAUGAUCAA